ensembl:lncRNA novel transcript
ACAAUGGGGUGGUUCCAUGGCCCAGAAGCACUCUAGCUACAGAUUAGAAUGAUGACAAGAGUAAUACCUUCCUAGUGAAGAUGACUUUUAUUUCAGGACUAUAUUAAGUUUCCCAACUUCUGUCAUGAUAUAGUCCAAAGAGAACCUGGACCACGCAGACAUCAAACAGAACAUGACACUGACCCAUUCUAUCAGUGACGUUGUGCUGAUUGCACAGGACAGAUGAGAGGCUCGUAUACUAGAAGUCUUGUUAUCCACAGAAGGAAUGAUCUGCAAUGUACACACGCCAGGACAGAAAUUCUACAGUUGCUGAUAAAAUGUAAACCUGUAAGUACUGAAUAAGAAUUAUGCCCAAUAAAAAGUCAUGGCUAGGGAGUAAAAGAUGGAGUGUUGACAGGGAAGUAGAACAAUAAAUGGGGUAAUCAGGAAAGGCUGAUUACCUUUCCUGAUGGGGAAGGGUGAGACCCCUAAUCUAGUCCAGUCUCCCAUUUUACAAAUAAAGAGACUGAGCUCCACAAGGUUAAGCUACUGGUCCAGAAUCCCAUAGCUCACAAGUGAUGAGCUGCCUCCUUCACCCCUCAGCUCCCUCUGUGUUCCACUCUGGGCUGCCCACUCACAUUUUGUCCAGUGGCAGCCUCGCCUCUGCAUUUGUCUUUUGUUGGCCUUGAGCUUUACCAUGAUGACUAGGCCUGGAAAAGGGUGAAAACAAAUAGCACAUUCUCCUAAGCACUCUCCACACUGCACAAUAUCAGCUGUCCUAAGAAGAUUUUGAAUAUGGGUUGAAAAUAUUGUUUGUUUUGUUUUAAAUCUUGGAAAAAAUUCUAGUUGCAUGAAAUUUUUUUCUCCAGAAUUAAUCAUGAGUAGCAUAUUCUUCAGCCUUGUUAAUUGGCAAAGCAGAAAACAAAAUAGCCACUGAAGGGCUCCUUUGUUUGGACUUGGAGACCAGUGACAUUGCUCACCCUUCCCACUGAGCAGCCUGCAGAUAUUGGUCUCUCUGGAGAGCACUGAGGACCCGGGGUGGCAGGACUCGCUGAGUAAGCCCUUCCCCAUACUAAACUUGGUUUCAAGGAGACAAUUCCUCUAACUGUUCUUGAGCUUUCUCGUCUCAUAUAAUCUCAACAAGUUCUUCCAAUUUCUGUUUUUAAACCAAAAAGAAAAAGAACAGCACAUUCCUUUUAUGUUUGUGCAAAUGAAGGGGAGGCAAGUUGCUGGGGAAAAUCUAGCAAAUGUCUUUUGAUAUGUAAUUUGAAUGAUUUCCUACUGAAGUCCUGAAAUAUGAAUUAAAAUCAUGUAUUCACUUUUGUCU